rnacentral:rRNA from 1 species
UACGGGAGGCAGCAGUGAGGAAUAUUGGGCAAUGGAGGCAACUCUGACCCAGCUAUGCCGCGUGCAGGAAGAAGGUUCUAUGGACUGUAAACUGCUUUUANACAGGAAGAAACGCAUUCACGGGUUGAGUGUUUGACGGUACUGUAUGAAUAAGGACCGGCUAACUCCGUGCCAGCAGCCGCGGUAAUACGGAGGGUUCGAGCGUUAUCCGGAAUUAUUGGGUUUAAAGGGUCCGCAGGCGGACAAUUAAGUCAGAGGUGAAAUCCCAUUGCUCAACGAUGGCAUUGCCUUUGAUACUGGUUGUCUUGAGUAUUACGGAAGUAGAUAGAAUAUGUGGUGUAGCGGUAAAAUGCAUAGAUAUCACAUAGAAUACCGAUNGCGAAGGCAGUCUACUACGUGGUUACUGACGCUCAUGGACGAAAGCGUGGGGAGCGAACAGGAUUAGAUACCCUGGUAGUGCCACGCCGUAAACGAUGGACACUAGNUGUUGGGGUGUAAACUUCCAGUGACUAAGCGAAAGNGAUAAGUUCCCACCUGGGGAGUACGACC